rnacentral:rRNA from 1 species
AUUGAACGCUGGCGGCAGGCUUAACACAUGCAAGUCGAGCGAGCGGCGGACGGGUGAGUUAUGUCUGGGAAACCGCCUGGUGGAGGGGGAUAACUACUGGAAACGGUAGCUAAUACCGCAUACUCUCAGAUGCGCCCAGAUGGGAUUAGCUUGUAGGUGGGGUAAUGGCUCACCUAGGCGACGAUCCCUAGCUGGUCUGAGAGGAUGACCAGCCACACUGGAACUGAGACACGGUCCAGACUCCUACGGGAGGCAGCAGUGGGGAAUAUUGCACAAUGGGCGCAAGCCUGAUGCAGCCAUGCCGCGUGUAUGAAGAAGGCCUUCGGGUUGUAAAGCACUUUCAGCGAGGAGGCGUUACUCGCAGAAGAAGCACCGGCUAACUCCGUGCCAGCAGCCGCGGUAAUAC